rnacentral:tRNA from 1 species
GCGGGCGUGGUGGAAUUGGUAGACACGCAUGCUUGAGGGGCAUGUAGUUAUAGAGCUGUACGAGUUCAAGUCUCGUCGUCCGCACCA